rnacentral:rRNA from 1 species
GCAUAUCAAUAAGCGGAGGAAAAGAAACCAACAGGGAUUGCCCCCAGUAACGGCGAAGUGAAGCGGCAACAGCUCAAAUUUGAAAUCUGGCCCCCCAGGGCCCGAGUUGUAAUUUGUAGAGGAUGCUUUUGGCGCGGUGCCUUCCGAGUUCCCUGGAACGGGACGCCAUAGAGGGUGAGAGCCCCGUCUGGUUGGACACCUAGCCUCUGUAAAGCUCCUUCGACGAGUCGAGUAGUUUGGGAAUGCUGCUCUAAAUGGGAGGUAUAUGUCUUCUAAAGCUAAAUACCGGCCAGAGACCGAUAGCGCACAAGUAGAGUGAUCGAAAGAUGAAAAGCACUUUGAAAAGAGGGUUAAAUAGUACGUGAAAUUGUUGAAAGGGAAGCGUUUGUGACCAGACUUGGGCCCGGUUGAUCAUCCACCGUUCUCGGUGGUGCACUCUGCCGGCCCAGGCCAGCAUCAGUUCGCGCCGGGGGAUAAAGGCUUCGGGAAUGUGGCUCCUCCGGGAGUGUUAUAGCCCGUUGUGUAAUACCCUGGUGCGGACUGAGGUUCGCGCUCCGCAAGGAUGCUGGCGUAAUGGUCAUCAGCGACCCGUCUUGAAACACGGACCAAGGAGUCGUCUUCGUAUGCGAGUGUUCGGGUGUCAAACCCCUACGCGUAAUGAAAGUGAACGCAGGUGAGAGCUUCGGCGCAUCAUCGACCGAUCCUGAUGUUCUCGGAUGGAUUUGAGUAAGAGCAUACGGGGCCGGACCCGAAAGAAGGUGAACUAUGCCUGUAUAGGGUGAAGCCAGAGGAAACUCUGGUGGAGGCUCGCAGCGGUUCUGACGUGCAAAUCGAUCGUCAAAUAUGGGCAUGGGGGCGAAAGACUAAUCGAACCUUCUAGUAGCUGGGUUUCCGCCGAU